GCUGGCGUUUUGCCGGAAAGCAGGUUCCGCCGUCGGGAUGCGUCUUAGGGAUUUAGUGUUUGGGUUCUUUUUAUCGUUCCUCUUUGGGGCUGCGGGCGUUAUAGGAAGGGGGUCAGAACGCUGCCCAGUUGACAAGCACGUUACUCUCGGAAAGCAGGUGGGGGCCUGGAGCACCACCUCUGCGCAGUCCCGUUCCGUUCUGGGCCGGCUGUGCGCCCUGGACUCCACGCCGGUCUGUCCCCCUGGGGGGCUCCCGCGCGGCUCCCCGCCGCCGCUGCAGCCGCUCCAGUCAGAAACCUGGAGGGCGUCCUCUCUCCCCGCCUUGCCCCUCCCGCAUCCCUCGUCCUGAGGGCCUGCCUUGCAGAGGCUGCUUUCAGGCAAACAGGCUAGAGCCCGGGAAGGCGGACGGGCCCAUGGCGACCCCCUGGCUGAACACGGCCGGGCCCACUGGGGCGGCGCGGUACAGAACGGAGACGUGUUGUUCACGGUUCCGAAGUGCGCAAGUCUAAAUUCAGCCUUUGGUGGUGGCCGUCGCUCCUUGGCGUCGCUUGCCUUGCAGCUGUGUCCCUACCGUCUCUGCCUGUGUCCUCAAACGGCGUUCUUCGUGAGUCUGGCCUCAUAUGGUGGUACUUUCCUCUUACAAGGACGCCAGUCAUGUUGAAUUAGGGCCCACUCUGAUCACCUUAUGCUAAUUUGGUCAUCAGCAAAGACCCUACUUUCAAGUAAGGGUACACUGACAGAUACUGGGGGUUGGGACCUGAACAGAUCUUGGGGGACACAACUCACCCAUAACACCUAAAUGCGCCUCCUAUUACUUCCCUACAGCAACAGGAAGAUCGUGCCACUCCUCUUGAGGUGGUUUUGAAUGUAGGUGAGGUUCGGUAGGGUAAGGUCCCGAGCCAACCACCGGGAAAGGAUUCUUGAGACAUCUUUGGUGCAAAAAGGUGAUUUCACCAAAAGCAUGGGGACAGGACCGAGUGCAGAAAGAGCUGCUACACCGGGGUUGUGAGGGGUGGCUCAUUAUAUACUUGGGAGUUGGGGGAGGUAAGGAAAUGGGAGGUUUUCAAAAGGACUUUCAUAUGCUAAAAAGGACCUACGAGAUACUGGAGGCCUUGCCAUUGUCAAGUUAAGGUGGUUUUUGCCACUAGCAAGGCAUUAACAUUAAGACAGUUGGGAGCUUCCUUCCAGAAGUUAAGGUAUUGUUACGAAUACUCUUUUGGGGGCGGGGAGUGGGGGCGCCUGGGUGGCUCAGAUGGUUGGGCGUCUGCCUUUGGAUCGGGUCAGGAUUUCCGGGUUCUGGGAUAGGGCCUGCAUCCAGCACUCUGCUCAGCAGGGAGCCUGCUUCUCCCCCUGCUUGUGCUCUCUCUCUCAAGUAGAUGAAUAGAAUCUUAAAAAAAAGAAAAAAAAAAAGAAUGCUCUUUUUUUUUUGGUAAGAUUUUAUAUAUUUGACAGAGAGAGAGAGAGAGAGCACAAGCAAGGGGAGUGGCAGAGGGAGAGGGAGAAGCAGGCUCUCCACUGAGCAGGUGCCUGACCCGGGGCUUCAUCCCAGGACCUCGGGAUCAUGACCUGAGCCAAAGGCAGAUGCUUCGCCCACUGAGCCACCCACGCACCCCAAGAAUGCUUCUUUCUUGUGAAUCACUAAGACAUUUGUAAACUGAGGGAGAGUCCUGUCUUGCAGGACUCUAAUCUCUAUAAGUUAACCAUUUGUUUUUCCUUCUCUGAGCUUUAGGGCAGCCAGGAGUGCCUGAGGAAUAUCACACAUAUUCCACCUGGGAGUGUGUGUGUUGUGUGUGUGUGGGGGGGGGGGUUGUGUGUUGUCAGCUUGUGCUUUGUCCUCAGCUUGCCUUCUGCUCCCUCAUCACUCCUCAUCCAAAGUUCCUUUCUUCCAAGGCCUUCUAGCCCCUAUGUGAUCCAUGCACCUCAAUCUCCUGCCACUGCCCUCCUUGCUCCCUCCUGGCUACACCAGCUUCUUUGCCCUUAGUCUACCUUGCCCAGCAUGUUCCUGCUCUCCCUCCUGCUGGCGUGCUCUUUCUCCUGAUACUGACAUGGAGUGUGCAUGCAGCAUUUUAUCAGUGCCAAGCCAUUCCUGACCAUUCUAUGUAAAAUCCAUACCCCUUCUUUCCUGCUUCCUGUCUUGUUAUUCUCUUAGUACUUCUCACUACUUGAGAUAUCCGCUCAUUUAUCCAUUCAUUGUCAUCUACGCCACCAUCACCAUGUCUAUAGAAGUUAGCUCCAAUGGAAAACCUUUCUUUUGUUCUGUACUAUAUGCUCAGGGCAUAGAACAGGGCGCAUAGGAGGUGCUCCCUCUUUCUCUUUACUGAGGCAUAAUUUACAUAACAAUAAACUUCACGGAUUGUAAGUGUUCACUUCCAUGAGUUUGAACAAACGUAUAUAAUCAUGUAAUCACUGAUGUGGGAAACAAAGGCAAAAGAAAAAAUUAAUUUCCUUACUACUUACACCCCAUUGACAGGUCCUUGAAACAGGCAGAGGGACCUUCCUCUAGGAGCUCAGCUGCCUGGAUGUUGACACUUUGCUAAGGGCCAAAGCUGUGGCGUUGUGUUGGCACUGUCCGGGCCAGGAAGGAAGGAAGAGAGUGAGGGCUCACUGGACACUGCAUUGUUCUGACUGGCCUUCCCAGGCCAAACACCGCAGGGACAGGAAGGUAAGCGGUCUGAAAUGCGGGCACCCGCUUCAUUUCCAGACUUCACCUCUGACGUGGAACACAUUUGACCCAUCUCUCUGGCAACCUCCAGGGGUGACCUUCACCUUCCAACUGUCUUCGCCCGGCUCCUGGCCUGCAGGCUGCUGUCCUCAUCGGCCAGGCUGAGAAUCAGAUCUAAGAACAAUCGGAACCAGAUCUUUUCCUCUUCCAAAGGUGAUAUAGCACAUUGGAUAAUAUUACAGGAGACCUUUCUCCCAAUGGUGACGUGUUACGAGACCACAGCGCAACAUCACGACCAGGAUAGUGACGCUGAUACAGUCGAGUAUAGGAUAUUCCCAUCAUUGCCCUGUACAGACGCCCCACGUCCUUCCCUCCCAACCUCCCGAACCCCGGCGGCCACUGAGCUGUCCUCCAUCACUAGGAUCGCGUCUCUUCAAGCACGUUACUGAAAUGAAAUCUACGGGCUGUGGUAACAACCCACACGAAGGGGCGGCUUAAAGCCACAGAGAUCCUGGUCUCACCGUUCUCCCAUCUGGAGGCCAGAGUCCAAAAUCAAGGUGUCCGCAGACCCUGCUCUCUCCGAAAGCUGUGGGGACAUCCUUCCUUGCCUCUUGCAGCUUCCGUGGCGACCCCUGGCGACCCCUGGCUGACAACUGCACACACGUCACAUGCGUCCACAGAAGUAACAUGUAUUUAUUGUAGAAGAUAUGAAAAUGGAGAAAAACACAAAGAAGACACAGCAAACUGAGCACGCCCCACUGUGUCCACUGCCCACGUCUGAAAACGUAGGAUCAGCCCGGCGUUAGUCCUUCCUGAAAAUUAACUGUGGGUUUUAAACAGUUCUUCAUGGCUUCAGUAAAUGAUUUGAGACCCAUGUUAAUACUUACUCAGGUGGCUUGACGUACGGAUUAGUUCUGUAAUCAUCCAAAGUGGAUCUCUUGUGGAAGUGUUUGUCAAGUGCUACAGUAAAAACAACUGGCUCUCUACAGAAUAAACAGUGAUUCAGGUGCAGAUCUGAGCACCCUCGCUGGCUCAGAUGAGAAGGGGAGGAGAGCAGGUAAGUAGGGCUGCCUGGGGAUGGACAGGAAAUCUGAUGAGCUAAUAUCUGAAAAUAUUUCAGAGCCACAGUGUGGACAAGUUCGUGAACAUAAAUGAUGAAAAUCUCAAACUGGAGUUCCAGUGGCGUGGGGUCUUACUUUAAAGCUGGCCAAUCCUGGGGGCUCCUCCUCGGUCUUGCGGGUUACCGCAGGGAGGACACCCCUGUCUUCAGAUUCCCCUCUGUUCAUGUUGCAGACAGAAGCUAGAGGGAGCAUUUGGGAAAUGAAAACGCAUUUAUUCCCCUUGGGUCAUCUAAAAAAAAGUAAAUAAUCUUAGUGCGUUCAGGCAGCUAUAAGAGAAUCCCACACAUUGGGGGGGCCUACAAGCCACAGAAUUUAUUUCUCAUAAAUUGGAAGUCCCAGGUCAGGUGAGGAUGCUCUCACUGGGUCCUCUCGUGGUGGAAGGGGCCAGGGAUCUCCUGGGGUCUCCUUCCUAAGGGCACUAAUCCCCUUCGUGAGGGCUCUACUUCAUGACCCAUCUCCUCCCAAAUGCCCGCCUAAUGCCCUCCAUGUGGGGGUCGGGGUCUCAUGGCAGGCAUUUGGAAGGACACAGACAUUCAGGCCCUAGCCAGUAUGUAGCUUUCAUCUCAACAAGGAAGCCAGAAUUGCACAAGGAAGUGCAGGAAUCUUGCCCGUUUCCUGCCAGGAAUGCCGGGGAGGGGGGGGGGCAUGGGGAUCUUGUUUAGUACAACUCAGGGAGCCCGAGCAGGGCCCACAGGAGCUCAGCUCUGCGCUCCCUGCAGGCCCUGAGGGAGGAUCCUUCUGCUCAAAUUCCAAGCAAGAGCUCUAUUGGUCUCAUAGGGACCCACUUGGCCCCACAGAGCUGGUAUGAAGAUUAUUUGAACUGGAGACAUUUGAUGUACAGUGGAUGCAGAGAGAAGCCUUUUCAGAGCUCCCUGCCUUUGCUGAAAGCGGAGCUUCACCCCCAGAUGGGAAGGAGCCGGGCCACUCACACCAGGAUGAGAAAUCGCAUAAACAAACAUUACCACAGGGGCCACACCUCCCAUUCCCCCUAAAGGCUCAUUUGUCUCCCCCUAGCAGCGCUUUCUGCCCCCCAAUUAAGUUGGUACGUGAACCCCUGUAUCUCUCUGUUCAGGGUCCACUUCAUCUGAGCAUGCUCACAUGUAGUGUGAACAGACUUGCUCUCUCUUCUCCUGUUAAUCUGUCUGUUGUUAAAUUUUCAGGCCCCCAGCACUGAGUCUGCAUUGGUGGAGGGAAGGUAUUUCCCCCCCGACGAUACAAAUUUCAGGGGGGCAUUCUGGGGUUGGCAACACACCCCAGGCUGUACCCGGAAGACAGCUGUCUGCUGCCCCAUCUCUGCCCACGUGUGGGUGUUCUGAUCGUCUCUUUCCUGUGAGGUCCAAACCUCCCUGUGAUGCAAUUCGAGAAACUUACCAGAACCGUGAAAUCCUGUGAUCAGACCAAGUGGUUGCUUAAAGGCAGUCUCAGCACUAACAUCCCGAGAUAAGUGUCAUAAUCUUCUUUAGCAGCAUUAUGUUCAUUGUGGCUUAUUUAUUUUUUCAGAUCUUCAGAAAUUCUAGAGUCUUUAAGAAGGCCUGUUCUGACAAGUCUACUCUUGGCAGGAUUGAGGUUUGAUUCCAAAGGGGCCAAAGUUCCAUUCCAAGGAAAUCUAGCUAAUAUUGUACAUACAGAGUUUCAGUGCACAGAUAGAGACUGAAAGAAGAUGUGGUGAGUUUAUUUAAAAAGCAAACCCACACGAUGAGGGUAGAGCCCUGGGGGGUGGGGGGCAAAGUAAAGGGUGGUCUGGGAAGCCACAGACUUUCAAGGAGGAAGUGGGAAACAGAGUCAAAGCCCACAAGUGGGUCGAAAGGCUGAAAUGUCUGACACAGGGGAGAACGGUUUCAGGGUGCGUGGGGGGCAGGUUCCCUGGAGGAAGUGUCACAGCUAGCUCCCAUGAGCGUCGUGGAGAACGAAGGAGCGUUAGCCGCCUGAGGGAGGAAGAGGAUGACUCCUGCCCAUACACCUGCUCGUCAUUGCUGAAAAUUCCAGCUAAGAAUCAGCGAGUAAUAGGAGAAGAAAUGUAUAAGAUGAGAAGUGGAAUCUUUCAAAGUGGGCAUGUCCAUAAAAGACCAGGAAAAGUCAUUCUUUUACAGAGAAUGAAACACCCCACCCAUGGCCUCUCUCGUGGGUCAGACGCCCUCACGUUCUGUGUCCAGGCUGAAGAGGUCAUGAUGCACCGGGUGGCGCAAUGGAGAGAGGACUUCCACACACGAUGUUUAAAAAACAUUCAAAAUCCCCUCCGUCCAUCAAUGACUGAAAAACCGAAAGCAAUUGAGAGUUCCUUGUUCUAUCCAUCCGCACAGGGAAGUCCACUGUUUCGCAAGAGGAAGUUGAGCUGUUAAAGAAAAACCAAAGCCUAAGUGUUAGACUAAGGGAAAGAUGAAGGAAGAGCUACUUGCAUUUCUGUUUGGGGGAGGUGAUAGAACAAAAGAACACAAAACCCAGCAAAACCCCAAACUGACAACUGUACAAAGGCUUCUUAGCAGAUCGAGUAAUUAAGUUGCAGAUUGAUCCCCAGAUUCUGAGGGCAAAGUGUGCAGGGAGGACCAUUCUCUUAAGUCCGGUGGUGUGUGUGAGAUUUCACUGUAGAGACACUGGGGUCCCGGGAGGUGGGGGCAGGCCUGCUGGAGGAGCUUUGCUGAGGACCCUGUGCAAAAGAGGCAAGGGCUCAGACAUGGGGGCUCCCAUGUCCUCCGAGCUCUGGGCGUCUCAGUCCCCAUCACUCUGCAAAGAAGCUAGAGAGGUGUGGCCUAGGCCGGGGGUUGCUGACCACACCGUGCCGGGGUUUUUUUUGUUUUUGUUUUUUAAAGAUUUUAUUUUUUUGACAGAGAGAGACACAGCGAGAGAGGGAACACAAGCAGGGAGAGUGGGAGAGGGAGAAGCAGGCUUCCCGCAGAGCAGGGAGCCGGAUGCGGGGCUCGAUCCCAGGACCCUGGGACCAUGACCUGAGCAGAAGGCAGACGCUUAACGACUGAGGCACCCAGGCACCCCCAGUGCCGGGUCUUUGAGCAAAGGAAUGGGAUUCCCACGGCGGUCCGUGAGGCUCUGGGCCUGGUGGGGAGAGGCCAAGGAGGCUGGGGAGAUUAGCCCCGGGUGCUGCCGAGAGCAGGGACCCCAAGCCUGAGGGGCUCAGACUCAGGUGCAGGGCUGGGCCGCACCCAGAGUUCCUGACUGCAUACGUGUGGGGAGUGGGGCCAGAGAAUUUGGGGUGCUGGCUGGCCUGGCUCAAGGAAAACCAUCCCUGAGAGCGGGUUCUCAGAACUGAAUAGGGCUGCAAGGAAUGGCCAGAUGCUAAGGACCCCAAGUCUUAGCAGAAAGCUGGAGGGGCGUCCUAGCUUAGGAGGGCCCCAGAGACACCAUGCGUCCAGGGAGGAAAGGGCGUCCCCUCUGGGGUCAGAGACGGAGGGGUGGCGGGAGGCCAGGACAGCGGGGGGCCAGACAACCCACACUUCCACCCACUGGGAAGCAGAGCAGGGACUUGACUGCCCCAGGCCCCACAGCAGCGCUGGCCUCUCCCCCUCCUUUCUCGUCCCUCGAAGCGCUUCAAAGUCCUCCCCACAGACACACGUCCUCCACGACAAGGUCCCAGACCAGAGGGGACACAGGAACCUGUCACACAGAGGAAAGGAAGGUGUCCCGUCUCUGCAUGUCGACGCCUAGCCGGGUGAGGAAGGCUGCGGGCAAGAGAUGGGCCGGCCCGCCACGGGGUCUCCGCGCACCGCAGCGUCCAGCCGCGCCCGCCAGAGCCUGGCCUGCCCCGAUCUCCGACCUCCAGGACUGCGGAGAAAUAAAUGUCUGUCGUUUAAGCCGACCAGCAGCCAGAGCAGACGAAUACACCAGGGAUAACACGUCACCAUCCUUGUCCCAAGGAGACGGCAGUCUGUUUGGGGGAAAGAAGCAUAAAGACCGGUGUCCAUCACAAGACAGAGAAGGGUGUCAGAGAUGCUUGAAGCAGGGUUAGGACGGAACCGAUGGCCCACACUUUGGAGGUCCACCUCUGGAAUCACCCAGCUUCGGGUGGAACUGAGCUAGGGGUAGAAAGAAUGGAUGCUUGGGAAGAUGCGAGCAAGGAGGCUGCUGGGGGGCUGAUCCCGGACCAGCCAUGUGAUUGGUGGUUGCCCCGGGUGGGUGUGACUGAGGGCCCGAGCUAGCAGGUGCUGCAGAGGCCAGGCGGCCAGGGGGUAGACAGCCGCAUGCGGCAGCGGGCAGGGCAGGGGCUGUACUCCCCCCCCCCAACCCCCGCACUGCGGGGCACCGCGCAGUUUUCAUUUUGGAAGGCAGCUAUGCUAACCACUAUACCACCAACGCCCCGGCUCAGUUUUCAUUUUGGAAGAUGCUCUUUUUAUGAGAAAUCUACCAUUUUGGGAGUUUAUAUUGACUUUGUUUCCAUUUCUGCAAAACUCCUUAAAUUUAUUUUGAGGUUUUGGGAUGGCUUCUACGAUAAACAGAAAAUGGGCUGACGGAAGGCAUCGGCGUCAAAUCAAAUGAAGAUGUAUUUUGAAAUCUAAGAAGAAACGGAUGUGGCCGAUUGUUGAUCUACAAUAGCCUAUAUGCUAGUAGUUACAUCAUUGCAGCUUUGGAUAUUUUGUUUCACUGUUUUUAAGCAGAGAAAGGAGUUUUCAUAUGUUCUCACCUCGUCCCCCUGCCCCCAAAUCUGUGUGUAGAUUAGGCCGCACAGUCUUUCUGUGAAUGUGGUUUGCCCAGCAGCCCUGUAGAGGGUCCCGAGGUGCUGAUACCCCAGACCUGGAAGGAUGCGGUGCGCGCCUCCUGGCAGGUGCACCCAUGACAGCAUAGCUGCGAAUCCAGCCCUGGGUCAUCAACUGACUCCAGAGAAGGGAAGAGGAUGCAGGGAAUUCUAAGAGGAAGAAGAGCAGAAACUCAGGGUGGGGGGUUUCUGAAAUUGAAAUGUAAACCCGACUUGAAAAACACCCACAAUUUCCUGUCCUAGCUGGGGCAAGGUUGCUGUCCCCAAGGGCCUGAUUCAUCUUACUGAGUGCUGGUGGUGCUGGCUGAGGGGAUGCUGAUCGAAUUGGGGGGGGGGCCCAGGAAGGAAUAACGGAACUCACGCCUACUGAGCACCCCUGCGUAGAGGAUCACUUGCCCACAACACUGAGAGGGGCAGUGUCAUCUACAUUUGGUAGAUGAUGAAACAGAGGGCACCACCAUUAGGAACACUUGCCCAGAGUCACUCAGUUAAAACAUGGCCAACCGGGGUUCCAAAUUCAGUUCUCUUGAGAUCUUUCCAUAUACUUAGCUGACACCAGACCUUCAGCAGUCAAGGGAUCACAAUGGAUAUUGAAAUGCCCAGGAACUAUGCCCGAAAAGUUGGUAGAUUUGGUUACAUACAAAUAAAAAAUAUUUGCACAUUAAAAAAAAAUCCCUGGGGCGCCUCGGUGGCUCAGCGGGCUGAGGAUCCGACUCUUGAUUUUGGCUCAGCUCCUGAUCUCAGGAUCCUGAGAUCAAGCCCCACGUGGGGCUCUGCACUGACUGGGUAGUUUGCUUGGGAUUCUCUCUCCCUCUCUCUCUGCCCCUCACCACCAUGGCAUUCUCUCUCUUUCUUAAAAGCAAAAACAAACAAACAAACAAACAACUUUAAAAAAAUCACCAUAAACAAGGUUGACAUAGUUGAGUAAACAAGUAUAUAAAAGCUUUUAAAUGUUAUAUAUCAUAGAAAUUUAUUUACAGGUUUAUGAUUUAAGUUUUAUAUUUAUGUUUGAAAUUUAUUUACAUAUGAUACACAUGACUCCCAAUUUUUUAUUUUGAAGAAUGUGAAAUCUAUAGUAGCACCAUAAUUUAAAAAUGUUCAAAAAAAAUGUUCACAGUUUUUUUUCAGUGUUUCUUUUUUUUCUUUUUAUUUAUUUAUUUAUUUGAGAGAGAGAUAGCGAGAGAGAGCAUGAGCAGGGAGGAGAGGGAGAAGAAGGCUCCCUGCCAAGCAGGGAGCCCCAUGUUGGGCUCCAUCCCAGGACCUUGAGAUCAUGACCUGAGCUGAAGGCAGAUGCUUAACUGCUUGAGCCACCCAGGCGCCCCUAUUCACAGGUUUUUAAUGGGCAAUUAACAAAAGAAAAAUCAUUAAUGACCAGUAGAUUUUUAAUUUAUUUUUAAUUUUUAUUAUUUUUUAAAGAUUUUAUUUAUUUGAGAGACAGAGCGAGUGAGAGAGAGCACAUAGCAGAGGCAAGGGAGAUGGAGAAGCAGGCUCCCUGCUGAGUAAGGAGCCCGACACGGGGCUCCAUCCCAGGACCCUGAGACCAUGACCUAAGCCAAAGGCAGAGGCUUAACUGACUGAGCCACCCAGGCACCCCAACCAGUAGAUUUGUUAAAUAAAGAUUUUGACCUUACUGAUGGUCAAAGAAACACAAAUGGAUAUGAGACCUAUUUCUAUCUACUCCACUGGUAAAGAUGAAGCUUUAUCCCCUGGUGUCGGGAGGGUGUUGGAUAGGCGGAGCAAGUAUUCAGCGCGUGCACUGCUUCUCUUUUCCACGGUGUCCCUUGUGUCCCUUGCAGACGUCACUACCCUCACUAUAUCUGUCCACUGAGCCCCAGUGAGAUUAUCAUUUAGAUUUGGCACAUAGCUGAAGGCUUAUUUGCCACCCAGGAGAAUACUGAAAUUCAGUAUUAAUGGAAGUAUACAAUGACCUAAUAUUUGUGACAUUGAGGCAUUUUGAACAGUAUCGGUUCAGUUUGUUACAUGUGAGCCGCAGAAAUUGCUGGCUGUCCCCCUUCCCCACUAUCCCUCCUUCUCUCCCUAAUUAGAGAAUUUUUAUCUGGGUACACGAGGACUCAGAGUAAAGACUACAUUUCCCAGCCUUCCUUGCAGUUAGGUGUAUGGCCACGUGACUAGCUUCUGGCCAAUUGGGGUGUAAGCAAAAGUGUCAUGUGUCAGCCAUUGGCCAGUUGGCCGGCCCUUCCUCCCUCUGCUGCUUGGAACGUGGGUGUGAUGGCUGGAGCUCCCACCGGGAGGAGGAGGGUGAGAGUCAACUUGGCUGGCAGAGCUGUGAGCUGGAAGGAGUCUUGCGGAUUGUGUAGAGCGGACUGCCAGGCCAGCCUCAGAUGGGCUACCUCAGAACUUUUCUUGUGAGAGAAAUAAAUGUCUCUUUUAA